UGAACAUAACUUUGACGUGGCGGAGGCGGGAGCCGACGGCACGGGCCCCCGGGCCGCGGCCGCCAGAGGACGUCCUAACUCUGUUUCUAUGAUGUAUCAUCUGAGUAAUCAAGCCUUUAAAUCGGACUUUUUGGCUCGGAUCUCUUGACUAUGGCAUCGAUGAAGAACGCAGCGUAAUGCGAGAAGUUAUGGGAUUUCCAGAAUUUAGUGAAUCAUGGAAUCUCUGUACGCACGUGGCGCGCGGCAGUAAUCUGAUGGACCUGCGUGCCCGAGCGUCAUUUCGGCACUCAGGCACCCGCGCCGGGCGUAGGGGAUCGCCGGAAGCCGCGUGCGGGCACAACGCCCGUCCCCCAAAUACAGUGGACGGUCCCGCCGCUGCUUGCAUGGCGUAGUCGCUACACCUCGCAACUGGAGAGCGGCGCGGCCACGCCGUAAACACCCAACUCCUGAAUGUUGACCUCGAAUCAGAGUAAGAAUUACCGCUGGACUUAAGCAUAUCAAUAAGCGGAAGGAAC
rnacentral:rRNA from 1 species